rnacentral:rRNA from 1 species
ACGGAGGCAGCAGUGGGGAAUAUUGGGCAAUGGGCGCAAGCCUGACCCAGCAACGCCGCGUGAAGGAAGAAGGCUUUCGGGUUGUAAACUUCUUUUGGAAGGGACGAGACGAAGACGGUACCUUGUGAAUAAGCCACGGCUAACUACGUGCCAGCAGCCGCGGUAAUACGUAGGUGGGAAGCGUUGUCCGGAUUUACUGGGUGUAAAGGGCGUGUAGCCGGGUCGGUAAGUCAGAUGUGAAAUCCACGGGCUUAACUCGUGAACUGCAUUUGAAACUGCUGAUCUUGAGUAUCGGAGAGGCAAUCGGAAUUCCUUGUGUAGCGGUGAAAUGCGUAGAUAUAAGGAGGAACACCAGUGGCGAAGGCGGAUUGCUGGACUCCCACUGACGUUGAGGCGCGAAAGCGUGGGGAGCAAACAGGAUUAGAUACCCUGGUC